CCUUCGAUAGCUCAGUUGGUAGAGCGCUGGACUGUAGAGAAAAUUCGGAGCGUUGCUUUCAAGUCAAAAUGCACUUGAUCAAACACCUCCAAGAGUUGUAAAAGAAAUCCAUAGGUCACUGGUUCAAAUCCGGUUCGAAGGA
rnacentral:tRNA from 1 species